rnacentral:tRNA from 1 species
GACCGCGUAGCUCAUUUGGAAGAGCAUUGGGCUAGUAUUCCAAAGGUCGUAGGUUCGAAUCCCGCCGUGGCCA